CGGACUCGAGAUUGACGGCCCAGGCCCCGCCCUGCCGCCCCACCGGCCCGCCCGGGCCCUAGUGGGUGGGCGCAGCCUCUGGCGCUUCUUCGGGAUCCCAGCUGACCAGCUGGGGGUGGGGCGUGGCGGAGUGGCCACGUGGGCCGCGCGGAGAACGCGCCAGGCUCAUCACCUGGAUCAUCGUGCCUCAGUUUCCCCCUCGGCAAAUGGGGCUUCAGCGGCUCGCGACGCACAUUGAUGGAGCGUAUGUCCAGGCGCCGGUGCACCGCAAGGAGCAAAACAGACACAGUUCUUGGUCCUAGGGCUCACGUCCCGGGGCGAAGAGGAUCCUCCAUAAACGAUCAGCCAUAGCAGCUGUGAUUGGACAAGAGACUGAUUUCAGUGACUUUCUCCUAAUAAGAGACCACCGACCAGCUGACCAUGCCGACCAGCUGACCCGUUAAUAGAGAGAGAUGAUGCACCUGCAUGCCUUUGUGUCCUGAAAAGACGUUUUGCCAUAAAGGCCCUAAUUGUAAGAUGUGUAAAUGUUAAGUCUCCACCCCAAAGUGAACAUGGGUCAUAUAUUACAUGCUUUGCUCAAUAAGAGGGCAUGUGUCAGGACCACCUUCAUGAAUAUUCAUAGCUCCUCCUGUUACCUGUUGAAUAUGUAUGUUUAGCCAAUCCCUUCAGCAUAGCGCUCCUGCCCCAACCCCUCCUCCUUGGACGUGCCUGUCUCUGGCCUUGGCUGGAGACAGAUUCCCAGCCUCAGACAGAUGGCCGCCACCUUGCAGGCUACGACCGUUUACAAGAAAUAAAGCCUUCUCUUUUUCCAAAUUUGUGAAUUGUGUGUUUUUAAACUAACAUGAAUGACAGAAGGAAGGAUGGCCUCUUCAAGCAACGAUGAUGAGGCAGUUAUUUAUAUGGGGGAAAAAUGGAUUCUACCGUGGGUGGACUAAAGAGGAAAUGUGAAAAAAUAAAAAGUGAGAAACCGCUGGUAGUGAAUCGGUGCAAGCGCCCUGGAGAAGAGACUUGGCAAUAUUUAGUAAAGUCAAACAGCACGAACCCUACUACUCUGCAAAGCUGCUGCAGGAACUGGCGGAACGAGGUCACGAAGGAAACCUUGCCGGAAAGGAAAUUGCAGCAGUGCCUGUGUGCGUGCGUCUGUUGGCAAAACGCUGCUAAUAACGUCAAUGCCCAUCCGCUAUUGAAUAAACCUGCUUUACUGCCACUAUGGAAUACCAAACUGCAGAAAAAUAAUUAAAAGAACGUAUCUCAUAUUACAGGGGAAAAAAUCAAGUUGCAGAAGCACAUUCAAGUGCAGUUCCUGUAGUUUCAGAAAAGGCAAACAGUGCGCUACCUGAGCUACUUACACACGUGGUACAGGAGUGAAAGGGGCAGGAGAGGGUUCCCAAGAAUUCAGCGCCAUCCGCCCAGGGUGGCGGGAUUCCCAGCACGGAGAAUCGAUUGCUAUCGUCUGCUGUCCCGCGGGCACGAUGGAGCGCUCCUACCGUACUCUCCACUUUUGGUGUAUUUGGAACGUUUCAUGCCGUAUUAAAAUAAAACAUGGCUAAGCUGGAUGUGGGGUGGCGGUGUGGGAUAAAAUAGAGGGGUGCUGCAGCUGGGCGGUGAGCCCCCUGCACCUGUGCACCUGAACGGGUUUGCCCGCAAGGGCCGGGCCGGGGCCGGGGCCUGG
rnacentral:lncRNA from 1 species